UACCGAGGGGGCAAGCGUUAUUCGGAAUUACUGGGCGUAAAGAGCGUGUAGGCGGCCAAACAGGUCCGUUGUGAAAACUGGAGGCUUAACCUCCAGACGUCGACGGAAACCGUAUGGCUAGAGUCCGGAAGAGGAGAGUGGAAUUCCUGGUGUAGCGGUGAAAUGCGCAGAUAUCAGGAAGAACACCAAUGGCGAAGGCAGCUCUCUGGGACGGUACUGACGCUGAGACGCGAAAGCGUGGGGAGCGAACAGG
rnacentral:rRNA from 1 species